UUUUCUUCUUCUUCUUGCACA
rnacentral:miRNA from 1 species